UUCUGUGGCCUGCGCUGUGCAGGAGGUCGGACUAGAUGAUCAGAAUGGUCCCUUCUGACCUUAGUAUCGGUGAAUCACUGCCAUAUCUGAGUGUCCUUAGCCCUAGUUACAAAUACAUAAAUAAACAUGGGCAACUUUUAUUUAUUUAAUUAGCAAUGGAGUCGCCUUGAGCGGCUGCAACAGGGUCAGGCCCCACGGUGCUAGGCACUGGAUAGUGGUAAAGUAAGAGACAGACCUUGCCUCUGAAGGAUUACAGACACAUUUCAGUAAAACAUGACAGUAUUUGUAUUUAUUUAUUCUCUUUUUUUGUGUAUGAAUUUAGUAGAGGUGAAAUGUGCCAAACUGACAUUCUGGAGAGAAGGGUGCUCAGUUUGUCUAGAUUCUGGAGCACAGGCUCUGUACUAACAGAGCAAAGCUCCAGACUUGGGCAUGUAAAUGUGCUAGGUGUCGUUUUGUUUCCUUAUUUAUUUAAUCCUUGGCUUUUUUUCUAAAGGCUGCAAACAAGGUGCCAGGCGAGAUGGUAGUUUGUCCGUUAAUGAGUUUGUCCCUUAAUAAGUCUGCUGGGAAAUGACUAUGACCAGCAAAUUUGUUUCCCAUAAAUAGCUACAGUAUUCUAGAACAAUGAUCCAUAAUCACACAGUUUAUGAUAAGGAUGAUGGUGUUGGGACUAUCAAUACAACUCUAGUACUUUUUGUAAGGGUGAGAAUUUUAUAAAGCAUGAAACCAGUUUUGUGAGGCUGUAAUAAGAGAGUUUGGAGCUCCAGAACCAUAGAAGUCUAUAUUAUAACUCAGCUGUUGCUAUUCGGGACACUGGCAUAUUAGAAAUAUUAUGAAAGACUGGCGUCUACUGUAUUAACGAAGCCCCUGGUUUGAAAUGCACUAUAAAAUUAUGGAAAACUGUUCAGUAACAUAAUUUUAAAAGCUGAAUAUUUCAGUAAGAAAUGUGUUCCACACUUCAAUUUAAUAAUGUUUGUUACAAAUCAUUAUAGAGCUUAAAAAACCCUUUUAUUAAAGCAAAGGCACAUUGGCUGGGUCCUACAUCUAAACAGAGCCAUUUCCGGUUCUGUUCCCUCAUGUGUGCACAUCUUUGUUGUGAUCCCAACGCAACCCACUAAAUACACAAGUCUAACUGCUUCCUUUGUUGUUCCCUAUUACAGUGAUGUAUUUAAUGUUUGCAUGUGUGUAUUUGUGAAUGGUAUCGGAUGCAACACAAUCUUUUUCACAAGGCUAGUGUUGUGGUGUUCUUUUGAAAAUGUCUGUCCCACAGUUUCUCCGAUUUCACUUUACUGGUCAGGAGUUCAAACAUAUUACUGCUGUUUUACAACAGCAUUAGGAAUUAGUACUGUAGCACCUAGGAGUUCUGCUCAGGGACAAAGACUGUAUUAUGCUGGGUGCUGUACAAAAACAAAACAAAAACACAGUCCCUGUUCCAAAGAGCUAUGUGUCCUUGUGUAAGAUUCUCAUAGACCAAUAUGAAACAUAAAGGGACAGAGUCUUCUCAGUUUCACGUGGGCAACCUAAUGUAACUGUAACAUUCUCUCUCCAGUAACACAGAGCUCCUUUAGUCGUUAUCCUGUAACCACAUGCGUACAUAUAACUAACCAGACAUCUGUAUUUAUAUUCUGUAUGGCUCAUCCGAGCAUUAUUUAAAAUUAUUUUAUUUUCACAGGACCAAAACUGCUGCGUACUUUACUGACAGACUAAGGCAGGUUCCUGCCCCCAAAAGAUUAUAAACCAAGGCCACACUUCUGCAAACUGUUGGGUGUGGGCAAAUCCCUGCAAUCAUAUGAAGUCCUGUGUUAUUGGGGUUCCAUGCAGGUAUAAGGAUUGUCCACGUACAUCAGCCUCCAGGAUCAAAGCCAGCAUGGACAGCAUACCAAGGAGGGGGGGAAAGGAAGCAAAUAGGCGGAAACAGAUGAGAGGGAGGAAAGAAUCUGCAGAAUAGUUGUGAGGUUGUUGGACCAGUUCAGUACACAGCAUGUUUGCACCUAAAUUUGUAUUCUCUUGUAACAUGUUGUGCAGUUGAAGGCACUUGUGUGGGACACACAAUCAGGGAAACUACUAUAAAGGGGCAAACCUCAGGGAACUGAUUUUUUGGCUCUUAAAUGGAACAAACAUCCUGCCACUGUUGUGGAAUCGGUGUAAUAGCUCAGUUGAUGUUGGGAUGGCUUUUGGCCUUAUUGUCCUGUUGGUUACAAUUAGAGGUAUUCAUAGGCAGUUAAAGGUCAGCAAAUGCUCACAGCUAGUGCUCUCUGCCUGCCUUGCAACAUGGCAAGCAAAAUAUGGCCUUGAACUUGUCGGUUGUAAUUAUAGACUUCAACAGGUGGUUAAAGGUUGUAAAUGCUUCAGUUAAAUUGACUAAAUUGCAAAGCCAAAGCUAAAAUUUUAAAUAAUGUGUAAGUAAACUCAGUUUAAAAAAGAAUAUUACUUAAUUGGGAUAAACUGGGAUCUGUCAAAACAUCUUGACUAAGCUCCUUCUACAUACAAUUAAGUGUGUCCCAUUUUCAAAAACAGUUCCUCUUCAGCUUAUCGUUAAUAAGAGCUGUGUGUUCCUUCCUAAACUUGAUCCUACCAUGAAGUGAUCACUUAAUAAAAUAUUCAGAGUGGAUUUAUGAACUUGUUCACUCAA